rnacentral:lncRNA from 1 species
UUGAGAGAGAAUCGGCAGGAGAGAAGGGAGAAAGAAGAAGAAGAGAAAAGAGGGGGAAAUAAGGGAAAAAGGAAAGGAGUUGAAGAGAAUAAGUUUAAAGGUAAGAUUUAGGUUGUUAAAUGUAUAAAUGUAUGUUAAUUGAGCUUAAUUUCAGUUUUGAUGAAUGUUAGGGUUUUGAAAAUUUGUGUUUUGGGUUUAAUUGAUGAAUUAAAUUGAAUGUUAUAAGGUUGAUUGUUAUGGGUAAUUGAUUAAUGAGUUGAUUAUGGAAGAUUGUGAUGAUUUUGAGUUAUGAAUUGUGUAAAUGGUGAAUGUUGAGUUAGAAAUUUGGCAAGAACAGUAGGUAAUCUGUGAGAAUUCUGGGUUUGAGGUUGAAGAUGACAAAAUUUCAGUUUGGUCCUUCAAUUAGACAAAAAUUGCAAUUUGACCCUUAAGAAUAUGAUAAAUUACAGAUUAGUCCCUAGCUGUAAUAUUACCUUUUUUCAGAUUAGUUUGAUGAAUAAUUAAGGGUUAUUUAGUGAAUUAUUACCAAUUUUAUUAUUUGUUUUAUUAUGGAUUAGAUUUCGGAAAAAAACCGUUAGAUUUUUGGGUUUUUGAGAAAAUUGAUUAGUUAGUUCAAAAACAUUUAGGGUUAUGGAAUACACCCUUAGAUAAGUGUAUUAAAUAAGUUAAAUAUUCUUUCGAGUCGUUCUUGAAUAUGCCUCCUUUGUAUUCAGAUAAUCCUGAUAUUCUACCGGCGGGACGUCAGUAGGAUUUCCUUCGAUAUCAGCUUUGAGUUUUGUUGCUUUCGAGUCAGGUGAGUGGAUAAUUUUCCAUAUGCAUGAGAAAUAGUAUAAAUAUUUGAUUUGUUAAUAUGAAUUGAAUCAUGCUUCUUGAUAAUAUAUAUGUUGAUUAUUAUCCUUGUUUUGAUAAAGCAUGAUCAAUUGUUGAAUCUGAAUUCUUGAUAUGAACUAGUAUAUAUUUUGAAUUGAAUUCUGAAUUGAUAGCUCCUCAUUUGAUUGAUGUCAUGAGUUGAGCCUUGAGAUAUGAAUAUGUCUGUUUGAUUAUGAUUAUGAACCUAUGGUAUGUCAGUCAGAAUACCCAUGCUAACAGGGUAGUGUUAGUCUUUGUGCACAUCGUAUCUGAACCCUAGUUGGUCGGGGGAGUCACCAACCUGUGUGGACUGAUCAUCCCACAGUACGGAGCCUCAUGCUCAUUGCAUUUUGAUUUUCUGACGAGUUUUACCAUAUGAUCUUCUUGUUAUGGCCAAUUUGAGAACACUUCCAUAAGAACCUAAAGCCAAUUGUAUAUAUAUUUCUCAUUGCUGUAUUACCUCGUGUGUGUAUAUUGAACGUUAUCUACUCACUGAGUUGUUGAACUCACCAUCUCAUUAGUUAUCCUUUUCAGGCUUAUAGCUUGAUAGCAGGUCAUUUUGUUGGACCUUCAGAACCUGCUCUUUGGUUGUAAUUUGUACCUUCCUUUAUGUCUAGUUAGUGCUCCAAAACUCUGAACUUAUAUAAACUCUUGUAUUAAGACAAUUCAAUUAUAUUAUGAAGUUGAUUUUGUUAUUAAUGCUGCGUUGAACUCUAAUUGAGUUAGGAUAAGUUUGUGUGUAAGUUUGGGUUCGCAUAGGUAUGGAACCUUGGAGGGGAACCUUGCCUAUGUGCCGGUCAUGGAUCCGGGGAUCGGAUCGGGUCGUGACCCUGAACCUGUUACAGAGUUUCAGCAACUUAGCCAGGUUGUGCGGACCUGGAUAGAAUUUUCUAUGGAGAGAGAUAGAAGGAGGGAUAGAGAUGCACCCUCGACAUCCCACACUGUUCAGGGAGUUAAUGUGCCGUUGAAUGACUUCAUGAAGUUGGCACCUCCUAUUUUUACUGGGAUGGAUAGUUCAGAGGAUCCUCAGAGGUUCCUAGAUGAUAUUUGGCGACGGUGUGAAGCUUUGGGAUGUACAGACCACCGAGCUGUGAGUUUGGCAUCGUUCAGGUUGGAAGGAGAUGUGGCAAUCUCUUGGUUUGAGUCUAGGAAAAGAGCAAGACCAGUAGAGGCUCAGUGGACAUGGAAGGAGUUUAGCUCCAUGUUCUUAGACAAGUUUCUCCCUCAGAGCGUCAGGGAUGCUCGACUUUAUGAGUUUGAGAGGCUAUCUCAGGGGAGCAUGACAGUGGAUGAGUAUGAUCUGAAGUUUACUCAGCUGUCUAGGUAUGCAGAACAUCUUCUACCCACCGAGGAGUGGAGGGUGAAGAGGUUUAUUAGAGGACUCAAAUCCUCUAUGUAUAAGGUGAUGGUGUCACAGGUGUUUCCAUCAUACUCUUUAGCUGUUGAUAGCGCCAGAUUGAUAGAGGCGCGAAAAUUGGAGGAUAUGACUGCAGGCCAGUCUAAGAGGCCUAGAGAAGAGGGUCAGUCUUUUAGGCAACAGGGAUUAAGUGCAGGUCCGUCUAGGGGACGAAGUGGCCGUCAGGGCUCAUGGGUUCAGAGGAGGUUUAGACAGAGACCGUCAGUUAGUGGCUCAGGCGGUCAGAGUGGCAGUAGUGGUACUCAGAGUUUAGUUCAGACUGCACCUCGUAGUUCAUUUAUUACACCUAGUGAUAGUUCUUCAUGUCAGCACUGUGGAGGAAGUCAUACUAGUGCAGAGUGCUACAGAAGGACCGGGGCUUGUUUUAGUUGUGGCCAGAUAGGUCAUAAGAUCAGAGAGUGCCCGAGGAGACAGUUGUCAGCUUCGGGGUUAUCUGCUUCAGUCCAGCAUCCUAUUCAGGCACCAUCGACGAGCCAGUCUGUGGCUCAUGGGGGUAGAGGUUUUGGUGGCCGUGGUCAGAGAGGCCGGGGUGCAGGUGAUAGAGGUCAGAUACAGCAGGGUCAAGGGCAUGCUAGAGUUUUUGCCUUGACUCAGCAGGAUGCUCAGGCAUCCAACACAGUUGUUUCAGGUAUUCUUCCUGUUUGCUCUUUUGAAGCAAAAGUGUUGUUUGAUACGAGUGCAACCCAUUCAUUUAUGUUCCCAUAUUUUGCCAUGAGGUUAGAUAAACAACCAACCUUGUUAAAAUCCCCAAUUUCAGUCUCCACUCCCUUAGAUGAAUUAAUAUUAGUGAAGUAUGUGUAUCUGGAUUGUGAAAUAGAGAUUGGAGAUAAAAAUUUUAUGGGAGACUUAAAUGUCUUAGAUAUGGUUGAUUUUGAUGUGAUUUUGGGAAUGGAUUGGUUGGCAAAGCAUAGGGCUUCGGUAAAUUGUUGGGGUAAGAAAAUAAUAUUUGAUCUAGAUGAAGAAGUUGGGUUAGUAUUUCAAGGAGAUAAGAUUGGGUCUCCAUCAAUUAUGUUGUCGGCUAUCUCGAGGAAAAUGGCCAGAAAAGGGGUACAGUGCUACCUAGCAUAUAUAGUGGAUGUAGAGAAAGAAGUUCCUCAAUUAGACCAAGUCCCUAUAGUUAGGGAGUUUAUUGAUGUCUUUCCCGAUGACUUACCUGGAUUGCCUCCAUAUAGGGAGAUUGAGUUUUGUAUUGAUUUGGUUCCGGGUACUGAACCGAUAUCAAUGACACCAUAUAGAAUGGCGCCAGCAGAAUUGAGGGAGCUAAAGGAGCAACUGCAGGAUUUGUUGGAUAAAAAGUUCAUCCGACCAAGUGUGUCCCCUUGGGGAGCCCCAGUGUUGUUUGUGAAGAAGAAAGAUGGGUCAUUGAGGUUAUGUAUAGAUUAUAGGCAACUGAAUCGGGUGACUAUUCGAAAUAGAUACCCACUCCCUCGCAUUGAUGAUUUGUUUGACCAGUUGCAGGGAGCUCAAUUCUUUUCUAAGAUCGAUCUUUGAUCUGGGUAUCAUCAGUUGAGGAUUAGGGAGACAGACAUUUUGAAGACAGCUUUUAGAACUCGGUAUGGUCAUUAUGAGUUCUUAGUGAUGUCUUUUGGGUUGACGAAUGCACCAGCAGCUUUUAUGGAUUUGAUGAAUAGAGUGUUUGGCCAGUUUAUUGAUCGAUUUGUAAUAGUUUUUAUUGAUGAUAUUUUGGUGUAUUCGAGGUCUAGGGAGGAGCAUGAACAGCACUUGAAAAUGGUGCUUCAAACUCUGUGAGAUCAUCAGCUGUAUGGCAAGUUCUCAAAGAGUGAGUUUUGGUUGGAGAGUGUAGCAUUUCUUGGGCAUGUAGUGUCAAGGAAUGGGAUUGAGGUUGAUCCUCAAAAGAUUGAGGCAGUUAAACAGUGGCUUAGACCUACUUCGACGACAGAGAUUAGAAGUUUCUUAGGUUUGGCCGGCUACUAUCGGAGGUUUGUGGAGAACUUUUCUCGGAUUUCUGCACCAUUGACUAAGUUAACGCAGAAAAAUGUUAAGUUUCAGUGGUCUGAAGCUUGUGAGAAAAGUUUCUUGGAGUUGAAAGAGAGAUUGACUACAGCGCCUGUUCUAGCAGUACCAUCAGGUUCUGGUGGUUACACAGUGUAUUGUGAUGCUUCGAGAGUGGGGUUAGGAUGUGUUCUAAUGCAGCAUGGCAAGGUUAUUGCCUAUGCUUCACGGCAGCUGAAGAAGCAUGAACAGAACUAUCCUACACAUGAUUUAGAGAUGGCGGCUGUAAUUUUUGCCUUGAAGAUUUGGAGGCACUACUUGUAUGGUGAAACUUGUGAGAUCUUCACAGAUCACAAGAGUUUGAAAUACAUCUUUCAGCAGAGGGAUCUAAACCUGAGGCAGAGGAGAUGGAUGGAACUGCUGAAGGAUUAUGAUUGUACCAUACAUUACCACCCGGGUAAGGCAAAUGUAGUUGCCGAUGCUUUGAGUAGAAAAUCAUCAGGGAGCUUAGCUCAUAUUCAGGAGGUACGAAGACCUCUGAUUAGGGAGCUGCAUGAGUUGGUGGAUGAAGGAGUCAGAUUUGAUCUUAGUGAAGCUGGAGCAACGAUUGCUCAUUUUCAGGUUAAGUCAGAUUUGUUUGAUAAGAUAAAAGCAGCUCAGAAGAAAGAUGAUUCACUACUCAGGAUUAGAAAUGAGGUUGAGCAGGGUAAGGCUGCAGGUUUUGUGAUAGGUGAUGAUGAUGUGCUGAGAUAUAGGGGUAGGCUUUGUGUACCUGAUGUAGAUGAUCUGAGGAGAGAAUUGAUGGUAGAGGCACAUCAAACAGUUUACACAAUGCAUCCAGGUUCCACCAAGAUGUAUAAAGACCUUAAGGUGUGUUAUUGGUGGAAUAGGAUGAAGGCUGAUGUAGCAGACUUUGUUUCUAGGUGUUUGACCUGUCAGAGGGUAAAGGGUGAACACCAGAAACCUCCUGGAUUGUUGCAACCAUUGUUGAUUCCAGAAUGGAAGUGGGAAAGGAUCACAAUGGACUUUGUGACAGGAUUGCCUAGGAGUCAGGAGGGUUAUGAUUCAAUAUGGGUGAUUGUUGACAGGUUGACAAAAUCAGCCCAUUUUCUGCCAGUUAGGAUUACUUAUGGAUAUGCAAAGUUGGCAGAAUUAUUUAUUAGUGAGAUUGUACGGUUGCAUGGAGUGCCAAUCUCGAUAGUGUCUGAUAGAGGUCCACAGUUUACAUCGCGGUUUUGGGUGAAAUUCCAAGAAGCUAUGGGUACUAAAGUGCAGUUGAGUACAGCUUUUCACCCUCAUACAGAUGGUCAAUCUGAGAGGACUAUUCAGAUUUUGGAGGAUAUGCUAAGGGCUUGUGUUAUGGAUUUUGGAGUUGGUUGGAGUAAGUUCCUACCAUUAGUGGAAUUUGCUUACAACAACAGUUAUCAGGCUAGCAUAGAAAUGGCACCUUAUGAGGCUUUGUAUGGUCGGAAGUGUAGAUCACCGGUUUGUUGGUUUGAGGUUGGUGAGAAGAGGCUAAUGGGACCAGAGUUGAUUCAGAUUACCUCAGAGAAGAUAGAGGUAAUUAGAAAUAAGCUUCAAACAGCUCAGAGCAGACAAAAGAGUUACGCAGAUAAAAGAAGGCGUGACUUAGAGUUUUCAGUGGGUGACUGUGUGUUCUUAAAAGUAUCACCGACAAAAGGAGUAUUCAGGUUUGGGAAGAAAGGCAAGUUGAGUCCUCGAUUCAUUGGACCGUAUGAGAUUCUGGAGAGAGUUGGGGCAGUUGCUUAUAGGUUAGCAUUACCACCAAACUUGUCCGCUAUUCAUCCGGUAUUUCAUGUUUCCAUGCUAAGGAAGUAUAUGUCAGAUCCAUCGCAUGUAUUAGAGGUUUAUCCCAUUGAAUUGAGAGAUGAUAUGGUUUAUGAGGUGCAACCAGAAGCUAUAGUCGACCGACAAGUGAGGAAGCUUAGGUCGAAGGAUAUAGCUUCAGUGAAAGUGAAAUGGAAAGGUCAUUCACGUGAGGAAGCGACAUGGGAGCUCGAGGAUAAGAUGCGUGAGGAGUAUCCUCAUCUUUUCGAUAAUCUCGGUAAGUAUUCAAUCUUUUCUAUUAAGUUUUGAGGACGAAACUUUUAUAAGGUGGGGAGAUUGUAAUGUUUUGUAUUAAAAAAUAGGAAAUGGCAACAAGGCCCUUGAAUGCUUAGAUGUAGGAAUAAAUUAAAUGAGGGGUAUAAUAGUAAUUGUAUAAAGAGAUGAUAUAUAUAAAUAGGAAGUAAAAAAAAAAAAGGAAAGAGGGAUCUGAAUUUUGAGAGAGAAUCGGCAGGAGAGAAGGGAGAAAGAAGAAGAAGAGAAAAGAGGGGGAAAUAAGGGAAAAAGGAAAGGAGUUGAAGAGAAUAAGUUUAAAGGUAAGAUUUAGGUUGUUAAAUGUAUAAAUGUAUGUUAAUUGAGCUUAAUUUCAGUUUUGAUGAAUGUUAGGGUUUUGAAAAUUUGUGUUUUGGGUUUAAUUGAUGAAUUAAAUUGAAUGUUAUAAGGUUGAUUGUUAUGGGUAAUUGAUUAAUGAGUUGAUUAUGGAAGAUUGUGAUGAUUUUGAGUUAUGAAUUGUGUAAAUGGUGAAUGUUGAGUUAGAAAUUUGGCAAGAACAGUAGGUAAUCUGUGAGAAUUCUGGGUUUGAGGUUGAAGAUGACAAAAUUUCAGUUUGGUCCUUCAAUUAGACAAAAAUUGCAAUUUGACCCUUAAGAAUAUGAUAAAUUACAGAUUAGUCCCUAGCUGUAAUAUUACCUUUUUUCAGAUUAGUUUGAUGAAUAAUUAAGGGUUAUUUAGUGAAUUAUUACCAAUUUUAUUAUUUGUUUUAUUAUGGAUUAGAUUUCGGAAAAAAACCGUUAGAUUUUUGGGUUUUUGAGAAAAUUGAUUAGUUAGUUCAAAAACAUUUAGGGUUAUGGAAUACACCCUUAGAUAAGUGUAUUAAAUAAGUUAAAUAUUCUUUCGAGUCGUUCUUGAAUAUGCCUCCUUUGUAUUCAGAUAAUCCUGAUAUUCUACCGGCGGGACGUCAAUAGGAUUUCCUUCGAUAUCAGCUUUGAGUUUUGUUGCUUUCGAGUCAGGUGAGUGGAUAAUUUUCCAUAUGCAUGAGAAAUAGUAUAAAUAUUUGAUUUGUUAAUAUGAAUUGAAUCAUGCUUCUUGAUAAUAUAUAUGUUGAUUAUUAUCCUUGUUUUGAUAAAGCAUGAUCAAUUGUUGAAUCUGAAUUCUUGAUAUGAACUAGUAUAUAUUUUGAAUUGAAUUCUGAAUUGAUAGCUCCUCAUUUGAUUGAUGUCAUGAGUUGAGCCUUGAGAUAUGAAUAUGUCUGUUUGAUUAUGAUUAUGAACCUAUGGUAUGUCAGUCAGAAUACCCAUGCUAACAGGGUAGUGUUAGUCUUUGUGCACAUCGUAUCUGAACCCUAGUUGGUCGGGGGAGUCACCAACCUGUGUGGACUGAUCAUCCCACAGUACGGAGCCUCAUGCUCAUUGCAUUUUGAUUUUCUGACGAGUUUUACCAUAUGAUCUUCUUGUUAUGGCCAAUUUGAGAACACUUCCAUAAGAACCUAAAGCCAAUUGUAUAUAUAUUUCUCAUUGCUGUAUUACCUCGUGUGUGUAUAUUGAACGUUAUCUACUCACUGAGUUGUUGAACUCACCAUCUCAUUAUUUAUCCUUUUCAGGCUUAUAGCUUGAUAGCAGGUCAUUUUGUUGGACCUUCAGAACCUGCUCUUUGGUUGUAAUUUGUACCUUCCUUUAUGUCUAGUUAGUGCUCCAAAACUCUGAACUUAUAUAAACUCUUGUAUUAAGACAAUUCAAUUAUAUUAUGAAGUUGAUUUUGUUAUUAAUGCUGCGUUGAACUCUAAUUGAGUUAGGAUAAGUUUGUGUGUAAGUUUGGGUUCACAUAGGUAUGGAACCUUGGAGGGGAACCUUGUCUAUGUGCCGGUCAUGGAUCCGGGGAUCGGGUCGUGACAC